UACGUAGGGUGCGAGCGUUGUCCGGAAUUAUUGGGCGUAAAGGGCUCGUAGGCGGUCUGUCACGUCGGGAGUGAAAACUCGGGGCUCAACCCCGAGCCUGCUUCCGAUACGGGCAGACUAGAGGUAUGCAGGGGAGAAUGGAAUUCCUGGUGUAGCGGUGAAAUGCGCAGAUAUCAGGAGGAACACCGGUGGCGAAGGCGGGUCUCUGGGCCGAUACUGACGCUGAGGAGCGAAAGCGUGGGGAGCGAACAGG
rnacentral:rRNA from 1 species